rnacentral:tRNA from 1 species
GAGUGGCGGAAUGGUAGACGCGCUGGACUCAAAAUCCUGUGUCCUAACAGACGUGUGGGUUCGAUUCCCACCUCGG